GGUCGCCCGGCUAUGCAUGCAGUCCGACUCUCAAUUAUCUUUGUUAGCAAAGCCAACGGAAGCAGCUCCCAGAUUGACUUCACCCUUUCAACAGAGGCAGGAUAUCUAUGAAAAAGCGUUACUGUGCUGAUGAAUUUUAUCAAGCAGAGAGCUGAUCCAUGACAAGAGAAUGUUGUAGAAGAUCUGAAUGUCAGAACACCACCUCCAUUUCAGCUGCAGCCUGAACCUCGCCAGAAGCGUACUACUCAAAUGAACUCAACCUCAGAACUCAGAUAUGAAAUAAUCCUUAAAUUAUUUUAUUUUUCCACCUGCUGAUUUACUCGGUCAUGUUUCUAGAUGAUUGACGCUAAUUUGAGUGUCUUUGUGCUGCUUUAAAUCCUGCAUGUGUUUUACUCUUGUUCACAGCUGCCUACACAACAGGUGUGAGAUUCAUCUUCCAACCAUUUAUCCAGAACAAGGUCAAUAGGGCGGCUGGAGCCUAUCCUGGCAGCAGAACAGAACACUCAACCCUGAAGGUGUGAGGCAACAGUGCAACUGGACCAUUGAUCCACCAUGUGAAAUGAUGAAAGUAAAUGAACAGAAUUGCAGUAGACAAACCCUCUCAAAACAUAAUCAGUGUAAAGCAAAUUCUUCAGAAGACAUUUUCAGGUAUUGAAAACUUACUUGCAGUUGUGAGGACAAAUUCUACCAGGCUUUCAAAGGUGGCAAGGAUACCGUUAGAAUUGAAAAAAUACAAGCUUUUUUGCUUGUUUUUAUUUUAUACAUGGAUUUCGUAAUUAUUUUUCAGCCCAAAGCAUUUUCUUUCAGCUGUUCCAGCAUAUUACAGUAUGUGGUCUUUUCUUUUAGAGAAUCGUAAUACACUACAUAAAAAAUGUAUCUAAUGUGGUCACACAGCAAGCAGAAAGCUGUAAAAGGUCACAGAUUCAGAGCGUGUCAACAUGUCAUCUUUCAGGCAUCUGGGGAUUCUGCAUGAUAAAUGCCACACUCAGUUCCUUUAUUACACAGCAUAUUCCCUCAUUUUUCUGGACACCCCUCACAAAUGUCUUUUCCCUGCAAGAAAGAGGAAGAGAAAGAGAGCAUAAGUUUCUGAGAUGAGUUUCACCACCAAUUGGGCUUGAAGUCACUAGUUGCCUUUCAGUUUUUUUCAUGCAUGGCUUCCUUGGGGGUGAUGUGCCUAUAUUCUGUUAUAGAAUCCUCUUUUUUUUUUUUUGCAAAAAUAAU